rnacentral:lncRNA from 10 species
GCAAGCGAUGGGGAACGGCUGUAAAUACAGAUGAAGCUUCGCUCGCACAUCUGCUGCCCACCUCCUGCUGUGCAGCCCAGUUCCUAACAGUCUAUGGACCAGUUACCUGUCCGUGGCCUGAGGGUUGAGGACCUCUGACUUAGAGCACUGCCAACAAACUAGUUGUGCCUAUACCUCCAUGCCUUAACUUGUGCUAUUUCUGCAACACCUUUCCCUCCCUAUUCCCUACCAGGCUCUCCCUACUGGUAGACAUGUCGCUGGCAUAACCCUGCAUCCACUAUCAUAGAGAUGAUGUUCUGUGGAUGCUGCCUUGCCACAGAUGUGGGACUUCUGGAUGCGCACAUGACCCAGGUGAUGUCAACUCCACUCAGUAACGUGUUCUGCCCAUCUUUCAUGAAGCCGUCUUAGACUCUUCACUCAAGUUUUUGAAAAUCCUGAGGUUCUGCAGGGUACUGUCCAUUUUCUUUCAAUACAUUCUCUCUAGGUGAGUCCCAAAAUUUAAUAGCUCUAGCCCAGAACUAUCUCUGAGCUCUUGACUUAAAUUACAACUAUCUAAUUGACAUCUACACUCAAAUCUCUCACUUGGCUAAUCAGUAUCAUUCUUCAGACCUCACUCUGAAGGCAACUUGUUCAGGGAAAUCUUCCUUAACUUCCUAGUCCAGUUUAAGUCUACUUAUAUAUGUUCUCAUAUCAUCUUGUGCUUCUCCUUUUGAAGCAGUCAUCAAUUUAUUAUUAUCUCAUUCAUACUGUUGGGGCCAGCACAUUAAUCAAAAUAAAGUCCCUGCUAUUAAAAAGAUUAAAGUUUUAUAUGAAAAUGUUAUGAAAUACCUAGAAACAGACUUUCUGAAAGAAUAAAAAAUCAACAAUAUCAGGUACUCUGAAAACAAAUCUUUUAAAAUAAAUCCAUAUUUCUAGAAAAAGAGAACUAAACUAGAGGGCUCCAAUAGCAUCUGUGAUAUCAGGGACUUUUUUUUUUCUUAAUUUUAAAGAGGAAUAAUUUACAUAAAGUAUAUUCAUUUAGAGCAUACAAUUUCAUGACUUUUGACAGUCACUGACACCUAUGAAACACCCACAGGCAAGAAACUGUACAUUUCUAUCAACCCAAAAGAUUAUUUGUGACCCUUCACAGUUCAUUCAUUUUGACCCAGGCAACCAUUGAUCUGCUUGCCAUGGCUUUACGUUAGUUUGCAUGUGUCUAGCUUCUUUUAAUCAUCAUAUUAUUUUGAAAUAGGUCCAUGUAGUGCAUCAGUAGAAUUAGUCAUUUUUAUUGCCAAGUAUUCCGUUGCAUAGAUAUGUCAAUUUUGUUUAACCAUUUACU